rnacentral:rRNA from 1 species
AUUGAACGCUGGCGGCAGGCCUAACACAUGCAAGUCGAACGAGUGGCGGACGGGUGAGUAAUGUCUGGGAAACUGCCUGAUGGAGGGGGAUAACUACUGGAAACGGUAGCUAAUACCGCAUACCAUCAGAUGUGCCCAGAUGGGAUUAGCUAGUUGUUGGGGUAACGGCUCACCAAGGCGACGAUCCCUAGCUGGUCUGAGCGGAUGACCAGCCUCGCUGGAACUGAGUCACGGUCCAGACGCCUUCGAGAGGCAGCAGUGGGGAAUAGUGCACAAUGGGCGCAAGCCUGAUGCAGCCAUGCCGCGUGUAUGGAGAAGGCCUUCGGGUUGUAUAGUACUUUCAGCGGGGAGGCGUUACCCGCAGAAGAAGCACCGGCUAACUCCGUGCCAGCAGCCGCGGUAAUAC